rnacentral:rRNA from 1 species
ACUCCUACGGGAGGCAGCAGUGGGGAAUAUUGCACAAUGGGCGCAAGCCUGAUGCAGCGACGCCGCGUGGGGGAUGACGGCCUUCGGGUUGUAAACCUCUUUCGACAGGGACGAAGCUUUGGUGACGGUA